rnacentral:rRNA from 1 species
AUGGCUCAGGAUGAACGCUGGCGGCGUGCUUAACACAUGCAAGUCGAACGGUCGCAAGACAGUGGCGCACGGGUGAGUAACACGUAGCUAACCCUGCCCCCCAAGUGCGGGGAUAAACGUCUCGAAAGGGAUGCUAAUACGGCAUAAGCUCACGGGAAGUAGAGGCCGGUGAGAAAAGGUUUACCGCUUGGGGAGGGGGCUGCGGCCCAUCAGGUAGUUGGUAGGGUAACGGCCUACCAAGCCGACGACGGGUAGGGGGCCUGAGAGGGUGAUCCCCCACACUGGGACUGAGACACGGCCCAGACUCCUACGGGAGGCAGCAGUGAGGAAUAUUGUGCAAUGGGCGAAAGCCCGACAACCAGCGACGCCGCGUGGGUGAUGAAGGCCUUCGGGUCGUAAAACCCUUUUCUGCGUGACGAGAACAGGACGGUAGCGCAGGAAUAAGUCUCGGCUAACUACGUGCCAGCAGCAGC